GGAAUAUUGGGCAAUGGGCGCAAGCCUGACCCAGCGACGCCGCGUGAGGGAUGAAGGUCUUCGGAUUGUAAACCUCUUUCAGUAGGGAAGAAGCGAAAGUGACGGUACCUAAAGAAGAAGCACCGGCUAACUAUGUACCAGCAGCCGCGGUAAUACAUAGGGUGCAAGCGUUGUCCGGAAUUAUUGGGCGUAAAGAGCUCGUAGGUCGUUUGUCGCGUCGAUUGUGAAAAUCUGAGGCUCAACCUCAGACCUGCAGUCGAUACGGGCAAACUAGAGUGUGGUAGGGGAGACUGGAAUUCCUGGUGUAGCGGUGGAAUGCGCAGAUAUCAGGAGGAACACCAAUGGCGAAGGCAGGUCUCUGGGCCAUAACUGACACUGAGGAGCGAAAGUGCGGGGAGCGAACAGGAUUAGAUACCCUGGUAGUCAGCACCGUAAACGGUGGGCACUAGUUGUGGGAACCUUCCACGGUUUCCGCGACGCAGCAAACGCAUUAAGUGCCCCGCCUGGGGAGUACGAUCGCAAGAUUAAAACUCAAAUGAAUUGACGGA
rnacentral:rRNA from 1 species